AGGAUUUCAGCUGACCAUUUUGGAGAUCUCAUCAUUUUGACCAUCAUUGAGGACUCUGUAGUGGGGACGACUGGACGUGCUUCAAGCCCUCUUAGUUAUUCACCAUAUUUCUCCUAAUUCAGAAGUAGGAGAAAGGCAAAGAGGUCGGCGUGCACGUGCGGAGGCCCGAUGGAGGAAGCAACGCAAAAGGAGUUACAGCAUAAGAAUACCAGGUGAUAGACGAAUGACUCGACCAGACCCUACGGCCUGCCAUGGAGAGAGGUUACACAGGCGGAGGAUGUUCAAACAGUUGGCAUGGAUAACGAGCUCUACAUGACAGCAUCGACCACAGUCACAAGAAAGAGAGCUGGACUUGGGCGGUAGUCAGAAAACCAGCAAUAGCAGCUUUAAAAUACAACCUACUUCAUGUAGUUACCUCUGCAAAACGGGAAUCAAUGUAUACUCGUAUGUAGUGAGGUUUGACAAUCAGUCUAUAGCUCCAGACUCUGUGGUACUAAUAGCUAUGCAUACAACUUGUUACAAGACAGAGUUUCUCCUUGAAUGCACUAUUACCAAGAUUCACUGUUAUAGACGAACAUCCAAAGUUAUAAAACAAAAAAAUGUCCUGUUCUGCAAGCUUUAUAUAUACUGAAUAUUUUGUAAUAUUCAGAUGUAAUAAAAGUAUGUUUGAUGUGUAUGUUGAUGAAAUAAAGUUAUAAGCAAUUGUGUG